CGCCUUGCCAGCCCGCUCAGAAACUCAAAGGAAUUGACGGGGGCCCGGCACAAGCGGUGGAGUAUGUGGUUUAAUUCGAUGCAACGCGAAGAACCUUACCUGGUCUUGACAUCCCGGAGACCCUUAGGAAACUAGGGGGUGCUUCCAUCUGGAAGAAUCUGGAGACAGGUGCUGCAUGGCUGUCGUCAGUUCGUGUCGUGAGAUGUUGGGUUAAGUCCCGCAACGAGCGCAACCCUUGCCUUUAGUUGCCAGCAGUUCGGCUGGGCACUCUAAAGGGACUGCCGGUGUUAAACCGGAGGAAGGUGGGGAUGACGUCAAGUCCUCAUGGCCUUUAUGACCAGGGCUACACACGUACUACAAUGGCCGAUACAAAGGGCAGCGACACUGCGAGGUGAAGCCAAUCCCGUAAAAUCGGUCUCAGUCCGGAUUGGAGUCUGCAACUCGACUCCAUGAAGUUGGAAUCGCUAGUAAUCGUGGAUCAGCAUGCCACGGUGAAUACGUUCCCGGGCCUU
rnacentral:rRNA from 1 species